rnacentral:rRNA from 1 species
GAUGAACGCUGGCGGCGUGCCUAAUACAUGCAAGUCGAGCGAACAGACGAGGAGCUUGCUCCUCUGACGUUAGCGGCGGACGGGUGAGUAACACGUGGAUAACCUACCUAUAAGACUGGGAUAACUUCGGGAAACCGGAGCUAAUACCGGAUAAUAUAUUGAACCGCAUGGUUCAAUAGUGAAAGACGGUUUUGCUGUCACUUAUAGAUGGAUCCGCGCCGCAUUAGCUAGUUGGUAAGGUAACGGCUUACCAAGGCGACGAUGCGUAGCCGACCUGAGAGGGUGAUCGGCGACACUGGAACUGAGACACGGUCCAGACUCCUACGGGAGGCAGCAGUAGGGAAUCGUCCGAAAUGGGCGAAAGCCUGACGGAGCAACGCCGCGUGAGUGAUGAAGGUCUUCGGAUCGUAAAACUCUGUUAUUAGGGAAGAACAAAUGUGUAAGUAACUAUGCACGUCUUGACGGUACCUAAUCAGAAAGCCACGGCUAACUACGUG